UUCUGUGUGAGCUUUGUUCUGUACAUUGCUUGUGGCUCUCGUUGCUGAAAACUAAUUUUAAAAAGAGUUUUCAUUUACUUCGCGCGGACGGCAAGCAGGAAGCGUCACUGCGAGGGAGAACGCGCCGCUUCUAUUCUUGUGACCAAAUCCAGUGUCCAUGGGGGUACAUCGGCGUCUUGUGUUGUUAAAAAAAAGAUUACUGCUGAUGAAGAUGAGGGACCUAGAAGAAAAGAAGAAAAGAAAGAGGAAAUUCUGGGUGCACCCCAUCUGGCAAGUCAGAAAGGAGGAGGGUGAAUACCACACCGCGUUUCCAGUCAUGAAGACAGAUGAAGACAUGUUCUUCCGAUACUAUCGGAUGAGUCCGAAGCAAUUUGACGACCUGCACAGCAUUGUCCGCAGGGACUUGAGGAGGAAUUUUGUUUGCCGGGAGCCUCUUUGCUCUGAAGAGAGACUUGCUAUAACCCUCAGGUACCUAUCCUCGGGAAUGGCAAUCAAGCAGAUAGCACUCGCAUUUCGAGUUGCGCCAGCAACAUGUCGGCUUGUGAUUCACAAUGCCUGCAGAGUGAUCUGGAAGCACUUGGAGCCGCUCUACCUGCCUGGGACGUUCUCCAUUGUUUUGAUGGCCAUCGUGGAUGCAAAGUACAAGUUCAUGAUGGUAGAUGUCGGUGCACCAGGCCGACACAGUGACGGCGGAGUCUUCAAAUCGUGCACAUUUGGAAAAAAGCUAAACGAUUGCGUCGUGGCCCUACCAGCAGCAGUACGCCUUCCAAA